rnacentral:rRNA from 1 species
UACGAAGGGUGCAAGCGUUACUCGGAAUUACUGGGCGUAAAGCGUGCGUAGGUGGUGAGUUAAGUCUGUCGUGAAAGCCCCGGGCUCAACCUGGGAAUGGCGAUGGAUACUGGCUCGCUAGAGUGCGGUAGAGGAGAGUGGAAUUCCCGGUGUAGCAGUGAAAUGCGUAGAGAUCGGGAGGAACAUCAGUUGCGAAGGCGGCUCUCUGGGACGGUACUGACGCUGAGACGCGAAAGCGUGGGGGAGCGAACAGG